UUUUCUUUUCUCCUUUUUGACAUUUAUAUUGCUAUUCUCACUAAGUCUGACAUAAAAAGGUAUUAGACCACUGAAUAUGAAAAUACUAAACAUGAAUAGAUGAAUGCAAUAGUAAUUAUGAUUAAGAGCUCAUAUGUGUUAGUAGAAACUUACAACUAAAGAGUUUCUUUCUUUUUUUUGAUAAUAGCUUUUUAUUUUCAAAAUACAUGCAAAAAUAGCUUUUAACAUUCAUCCUUGCUAAACUUUGUGUUACAAAUUUUUCUCUCUUCCUUCCCCCAUCUCCUCCUCUAGCUAGCAAGUAAUCUAAUAUAUGCUAAACAUGUGCAAUUCUACUAUACAUAUUUUCACAUUUAUCAUGCUACACAAGAAAAAUCAGAUCAAAAUGGGAAAAUGAGAAUGAAGAAAAUGCAAGUAAAAUACAAAAAUGAUGAAAAUAAUAUAUUGUUAUCCACAUUCAGUCCCCAUCAUCCUCAGUCCCCAUCAUCCUCUUUCUGGAUGCAGAUGGCUCUCUGUAUCACAAACUUAUUGGAAUUGGUCUGAAUCACCUUAUUGUUGAAAAGAGCCAUGUCCAUCAGACUUCAUCAUCACAUGAUUUUGUUGUGGCCAUAUAUAAUGCUCUCUAAAUUCUACUCACUUCACUUAGCAUCAGUUCAUGUAGAUCUCUCCACUCCUUUCUGAAAUCAUCCUGCUAUCUUUCUUUCUUUCCUUCCUUCCUUCCUUCCUUCCUUCCUUCCUUCCUCCCCCUUCUUUCUUUCUUUCUUUUUUUUUUUUUUUGGCUGAGGUAAUUGGGGUUAAGUGACUUGCCCAGGAUCACACAGCUAGGAAGUGUUAAGUGUCUGAGACCAGAUUUGAACUUAGGUCCUCCUGACUUCAGGGCUGGUACUCUAUCCACUGCACUACCUAGCUCUCCCUCCUCCCUCACUUCCCCCCAUUGACCAUUUUUAUAGAACAAUAAUAUUCCAUUACAUUCAUAGACCAUAAUUUAUUCAGUCAUUCCUCAACUAAUGGACAUCUACUCAGUUUCCAAUUUCUUGCCACUACAAAGAUGACUACUACAUUUUUGCACAUAUUGGUCCCUUUCUUUUUUUCAUGAAGUCUUUGGGAUACAGACUCAUUAGAAAUACUGCUGGAUCAAAAGAAAUGCAAAGCUUCGUAGCCCUUUGAGCAUAGUUCCAAAAUGCUUUCCAGAAUGGUUGGAUUCCACCAACAAUGUAAAACAGUUUUCCCACAUAUCCUCUAAUGUUUAUCAUCAUCUUUUCUUGUCAUUUUAGACAAUCUGAGAAAUGCAUAGUGGUACUUCAGUAUUUUAAUAAUUUGCAUUUUUCUAAUUUAGAACAUUUUUUCAUAUGACAAGAAAUGGUUUUCAUUUCUUCAUCUGAAAAGUAUUCAUAUUCUUUGACCAUUUAUAUCAAUUGGAGAAUGGGUUUUAUUCUUAUAAAUUUGAAUCAAUUCUCAAAUAAAGAUUUUCCCCCAGGUUUGUGUGUCCUUUUAAUAAUCUUGGUAGCAUUGGUUUUGUUUGUAGAAAACCUUUUUAAUCUAAUAUAAUCAAAAUUAUCCAUUGUGCAUUUCAUUUUCUUUACUUCUUUGGACAUGAAUUUCUUUUUCACAGAUCUGAGAAGUAAACUAUCUCUUGUUCUCCUAAUUUACUUAUAGUAUCACCCUUUGUGUUUAAGUCAUGAACCCAUUUCAAAUUAUCUUGGUAUAGGGUGUUAGCUGUUGGUUAAUGCCUAGUUAGUUUCUGCCAUAAUAAUUUCCAAUUUUCCCAGCAACUUUUGUCAAAUAGUGAGUUAUAAUCCCAGAAGCUAGAGUCUUUGGGUUUAAUAAAAAAUUAUUAUAGUUAUUGACUAUUGUGUUUUUGAAAGUCUAAUUUAUUCCACUGAGCAACUACUCUAGGUCUUUGCCAGUACCAAAUGGUUUUGAUGACCAAUGCUUUAUAAUAUAGUUCUAAGUCUGAUACAGCUAGGCUAUAUUCAUUUGCAUUUUUUUUCAUCAACUCCCUUGAGAUUCUUGACUUUUUGUUCUUCCAGAUGAACUUGUUAUUAAUUUUUCUAGUUUUGUAAAGUAAUUUCUUAGUAAUUUGAUUGAUCUGGCACUGAAUAUAUUAAUUUAGAUAGAACUGUCAUUUUGAUUAUAUUAGUUCAGCCUACCAGUGAGCACUUAAUAAUCUUCCAAUUGUUUAGAUUUAACUUUGUGUUGAAAGUGUUUUGUAAUUGUGUUCAUAUAAUUCCUGACUUUAUCUUGGCAGGUAGAUUCCCAAACAGUGUAUAUGAUCAACAAUUGUUUUAAAUGGAAUUUCCUUUUGUAUCUCUUGCUGCUAGACUAUGUUGAUAAUAUAUAGAAAUGAUGAUAACUUAAGUGGAUUUAUUUUGUAUUUUGUAACUUUGCUAAAGUUGUUGUUUUUUGUGGUUUUUAGAUAAUUCUCUAGGAUUCUCUAAGUAGACCAUCAUAUCAUCUAUAAAGAGUGAUGAUUUGGUUUCCUCUUUACCUACUCUAAUUCUUUUUCCUAAAGCAAACAUUUUAAUACAGUAUUUGAAUAAUUUAUAGGUUAUAAUGGAAUACCUUGUUUCAUUCUGAUCCUAUUUGGAAUAGUUCUACUUUAUCUCCAUUAGAUAUCAGGCUUGCUAAAGGUUUUAGAUAGAUGCUACUGAUCAUUUUAAGGAAGCUAUAUUUAUUUCUAUGUUCUCUAGUGUUUUUUAAUGGGAAUGGAUGUUGGAUUUUGUCAAAUUUUUUUCUGCAUUUAUUAAGAUAAUAAUAUGAUUUCUUUAAGUUUAAUUAUUGAUAUAGACUAUUAUGCUAAUAUUUUUCUAAUAUUAAAUCAACCCUGAAUCUCUGGUAUAAAUAAAAAUUAUCUUAAUGAUAAUUUGCUCUAUAGAGAAAUUUCUGUAAUGGAUAUUGUUGCAAAAACCUUAAAUAAAAUAUGAAUAAAGAGACUACAGCACAUUGCUCUUUUUCUAGGUUUCAUCCUUCAUAGUUUAGUUUUCAGCACCAUAUAUAUGUCAUAAAAGGGAUUUGAUAGGACUCCUUUCCCUAUUUUUCCCAAGAGUUUACCUAGUGUUAAGAUUAAUUGUUCUUUAAAUAUUUGGUAGAAUUCACUUGAUAAUCCAUUUAGUUCUGAAGAUUUUUUUCUUAUGGAGUUCAUUAAUAGUUUGUUCAAUUUCUAAAAUAAGAUUUUUAAGUAAUUUAUUUCCUCCUCUGUUAAUCUGAGCAAUCUAUAUUUUUUGUAAGUAUUUAUCUUAAGAUUAUCAGAUCUAAGUAAUUGAUUGCUAUGGCACUGAACAAGUAGUCAAAUUUAGGCAGAAUUGUCAUUUUUAAUAUAUUAGUUCAGCCUUUAUCAGUAAUAUAUAGAAAUGCUUAUGAGUUGUGUGGUUUAUUUUGUACCUUUGCUAAAGCUGUGAAUUGUUUCUAGUAAUAGGUUUUUGCAUGAUUUUCUAAGAUUCCUUAAUUAUAGCAUCAUAUUAUCUGCAAAGAGUGAGUUUUAUUUCCUCAUUGCCUAUUCUAAAUCUUUCGAUUUUCUUUUUCUUAUUGCUAUAGCCAAUAUAUCUAGUACAAUGUUGAACAAUAGCAGUGAUAAUGGGCAUCCUUGUUUCAUCUCUGAUCUUAUUGGGAAUGCAUCCAACUUUUCUCCAUUACAAAUAAUGCUAGCUGUUGGUUUUAGAUAGAUAUUGCUUAUUAUUUUAAGGAAAGCUCCUUUUACCCCUAUGCUUUCCAGUGUUUUUAAUAGGAAUGGUUAUUGUAUUUUGUCAAAAGCUUCUUCUGCAUCUAUUGAGAUUAUCAUAUGAUUUUUUUUUGUUUUGUUAUUAAUAAAAUAAUACUUUUCCUGAUUGUGUAAUAUUCCUGGUAAUAGUUUUCCUGAUAUUGAAGCCACCCUGCAUUCCUGUUAUAAUUCCCAGUUGGCCAUAGGGAUAAUAAUACACUAUCCUCCACUGCUGAUAAGUUGCUAUAAUCUCUUUGUUAAUAUUUUAUUUAAAAUUUUUGCAUCAAUAUGCAUUAGUGAGCUUGGUCUAUAAAAUUUUUGCACCAAUAUUCAUUAGUGAAAUUGGUCUGUAAUUUGCUUCCUCAGCUUUGGUUCUUCCUGGUUAGAUGUCAGUACCAUAUUUGUGUCAUAGAAGGAAUUUAGCAGUACUCCUUCCUUACCUAUUUUUCCACAUAGUUUAUAUAUAGUAUUGGAAUUAAUUGUUCUUUAAAUGUUUGGCAAUAUUCAAGUGUGACUCUAUCUUACCCUGGAGAUUUUUCUUAGGGAGUUCAUUAAUGACUUUUUUCAAUUUCUUUUUCUAAAAUGUUACUAUUUAAAUUAUUCAUUUCCUCCUCUGUUAAUAUGGGCAAUUUAUAUUUUUGUAAAUAUGCAUCCAUUUCAAUUAGAUUGUCAGACUCGCUGCCAUACAGUUCAGCAAAAUAGCUCGUAAUUAUUUAUUUCUUUUUAAUUGGUGGUAAAUUUACCCUUUUCAUUUUUGAUGCUGUGAUUUGUUUUUUUCCUUUCUUUUCCUUUUUCUAAUCAAAUUAACCAAAGGUUUAUCUAUUUUGUUGUUUUUUUCAUAAAAUCAACUCUCAGUUUUAUUUAUUAGUUUAAUAGUUUUCUUAGUUUCAAUUUUAUUAAUCUUUCCUUUGAGUUUUGGAUGAAAUUACGGAAGUUUUGGGAUUUCUAACUAACUCUUAACUGAACAUAAUUUUUAUUGCAUUGUGGCUGAAAAGGAAGCAUUUGCUAUUUCUGUAUUUCUGCUUUUGAUUGUGAGGUUUUUAAUAUUCUAAUACAUGGUCAGUUUUUGUGUAGGUGCCAUGUACUGCCAAGAAAAAGAUGUAUUCCUUUCUGUCCCUAUUCAGGACUAUCAUAUCUAGAUUUUAUAGGAUUCUAUUAAACUCCCCAUUUCUUUCUUGUUUAUUUUGUGGUUAGAUUUGUCUGGUUCUGAGAAGGGACAGGUUGAGAUCCUCCACUAGUACAGUUUUGCUGUCUAUUUCUCCCUGUAAUUGACUUAAAAUCUUCUCCAGGAAUUUGGUUUAGUGGAUACUCAUUCAGUAUUGUUAGUAAUUCAUUAUUUAAGGUACUCUUUAUCAAUAUGUAUUUUCCUUCCUUAUCUCUUUUAAAAAGAGCUCUUUUUAAUGUUGCUUUAUUUGAGAUAACCAUUGCUACCCCUGUUUUUUUUUUCCUUUACUUCAGCUGAAACAUAAUAAAUUCUGUUCCAUCCUUUUACCUUUACUGUUUGUGUCUCUCUGUGUCAAAUGUGUUUCUUUUAAACACCAUGUUGUAGAAUUCUUUGUUUUACUCCACUCUGUAAUUUGCUUCCAUUUUAUGGGAGAGUUCAUCCUGUUCAUAUUCACAGUUAUGAUUACCAGUUCUAUAUUUCCCUCCCUCAUAUUUUCUGCCCUAUUUAUAUUUUUGUUCUGUCUUUAGAAUCUGUCCUUAGAAGUGUUUUCUAAUGUAUCCCAUCUGCUGUCUUUUCUUCUAUCAUCCCUUUCCCCCUUCUUUUACUUUUUCCCUCAUGUUUCUGUCCUCCCUUCUAUCCAGCCCAUCCCUUUUCUUUUCCCUUUUUUUUCUACUUCUUAAUAGAAAAAUUUAGAUAAAUUUCUAUACCGAACUGAUAGUUCAGUAUUCUCUCUUACAGCCAAAAUUGAUGAGAUCAAUCUUCAAACAAUGCUCAUGAUUUUCCUUCUUUCCCUGGAUUGUCAUAGUUCUUUUGUACCUCUUAAUGUGAUCUCAUGAUCUCAUUAUCCCAUUAUACUUCCCUUUUACUCUUUUUCCAACCCUUAAUGCCUUUUUCUUUGGUAUCCUCACACCAGAGUCCAUUCACAGCCCCACUCUCAAUCCAUGUGAUGCCCCCCUCUGUCUGCCCUAGUGGUAGAUACUGUACUUGAGUUACAGAUAUUAUUUUUCCAUCUAGUCAUGUUAACACUUUCACCUUUAAAUAUUAUAUAUUUUAUCCUAUUUACCUUUCUAUGAUUCUCUUGAGUCAUGUUUAUACAUUAAAUUUCCUAUUUAGUUUUGUUUUUUCUAUAGCAAUUAUUAAAAGUCUCUUACUUCAUUGAAGAUUCAUUGCCUCCCUAAAAGAUGCUGAGUCUUGCUGUAUAGUUAAUUCUUACAGUAUUUUUUCCUUGAAGUUGCAGUUCUGGAGUUAUACAACAAUGUUCCUUGAGGUUUUCCUUGUGGAGCCUCUUUUCAAAGAUGAUCAAUAGAUUCUUUCAAUAAGUAUUUCCCCCUCUGUUUCUAGAAUCUUGAGGCAGUUUUUAAAAAAAAAAAAUUAUUAAAGAUUUUUAUUUACAAAAGAUAUGCAUGAAUAAUUUCUCAACAUUGACUACUGCAAAACCUUCUGUUCAAAAUUUUCCUCUCUUCCCCCUCCGCCCCCCCCCCACUCUGGAUGGCAGGUAGUUCAAUACAUGUUAAAUAUGUUAAAAUAUAUAUUAAAUCCAAUAUAUGUAUAUGUAUAUAUAUAUACAGUUAUCUUGCUGCACAAGAAAAACUGAAUCAAGAAGGAAAAUUAAACUGAGAAAGAAAACAAAAUGCAAGCAAACAACAAUAGAAAGGGUGAAAAUGCAAUGGUGUGGUCCACACUCAGUUCACACAGUCCUUUUUCUGGGUAUAUUUGGCUCUCUUCAUAACUGAACAAAUGGCACUGGUUUAAAUCAUCUCAUUGUUGAAGAAAGCUAUGUGCACCAGAAUUGAUCAUUGUAUAGUCUUAUUGUUGCUGUGUAUAAUGAUCUCCUGGUUCUGCUCAUUUUACUGAGAAUAAGUUCAUGUAAGUCUCUCCAGGCCUUUCUGAAAUCAUCCUGCUGGCUGUUUCUUACAGAAUAAUAAUAUUCCAUAACAUUCAUUCCAUUCUCCAAUUGAUGGGCAUCCAUUCAGUUUCCAGUUUCUGGCCACUACAAAAAGGGUUGCCACAAACAUUCUGGCACAUACAGGUCCCUUUCCCUUCUUUAAUAUCUCUUUGGAAUAUAAGCCCAGCAGUAAUACUGCUGGCUCAAAGGGUAUGCACAGUUUGAUAACUUUUUGAGCAUAAUUCCAAAUAGAAUGGUUGGAUUCAUCUACCAACAAUGUAUCAGUGUCCCAGUUUUCCCACAUCCCUCCAACAUUCCGCAUUAUCUUUUCCUGUCAUCUUAACCAGUCUGACAGGUGUGUAAUAGUAUCUCAGGGUUGUCUUAAUUUGCAUUUCUCUGAUCAACAGUAAUUUGGAGCACCUUUUCAUGUGACUAGAAAUGGUUUCAAUUUCUUCAUCUGAAAAUUGUCUGUUCAUAUCCUUUGACCAAUUCAAAAAUGGCUUGAAUUCUUAUAAAUUUGAGCCAAUUCUCUAUAUAUUUUAGAACUUUUGAAUGUAAAAACGUUUUUCCAGCCUAUUACUUCCUUCUAAUCUUGUCUGCAUUCAUUUGGUUUAUACAGAAACUCUUUAACUUAAUAUAAUCCAAAUUUUUUAUUUUGUGAUCAAUAAUAAUCUCCAGUUCUUCUUUGGUUGCAAAUUCCUUCUUCCUCCACAGAUCUGAAAGGGAACCUAUCCUAUGUUCUUCUAAUUUAUUGAUAAUAUCAUUCUUUAUGUCUAGAUCAUGAACUCAUUUCAACCUUAUCUUGGUAUAUGGUAUUAGGUGUAGGUCAGUGCCUAGUUUCUGCCAUACUAAUUUCCAAUUUUUCCAGCAGUUUUUGUCAAAUAGUGAAUGUUUAUUCCAAAAUCUGGGGUCUUUGGGUUUGACAAACACUAGAUUACUGUAGCCACUGACUAUUUUGUCCUGUGAAUCUAACCUAUUCCACUAUAGACUACUAUAGUUCUUCGUACCAAAUGGUUUUGGUGACUGCUGCUUUAUAAUAUAGUUUUAGAUCAGGCACAGCUAGGCAACCUUCAUUUGCUUUUUUUUUUUUUAAUUAAUUCUCUUGAAAUUCUUGACCUUUUGUUCUUCCAGAUUAAUUUUGUUGUUAUUUUUUUCUAGGUCAAUAAAACAGUUUCUUAGGAGUUUGAUUGGUAUAACACUAAAUAAACAGAUUAGUUUAGGUAGUAUUGUCAUCUUUAUUAUAUUCACUCUACCUAUCCAAGAGCACUUGAUAUUUUUUCAGUUGUUUAGAUCUGACUUUAUUUGUGUGGAAAAUGUUUUGUAGUUUUGCUCAUAUACUUCCUAAAUUUCCCUUGGCAGAUAGAUUAUCACAUAUUUUAUACUAUCGACAGUUAUUUUAACUGCAAUUUCUCUUUGUAUCUCUUUUGUUGGAUUUUGUUAGAUUUGUCUAUUUUUUUUUGUUAGAUUUGUUGCAUGUAUAAAAAUGCUGAUCAUUUAUAUGGAUUUAUUUUGUAUCCUACAACUUUGCUAAAGUUGUGGAUUAUUUCUAAUAGUUUUUAGUUGAUUCUGUAGGGUUCUCUAAGUAUACUAUCAUAUCAUCUGCAAAGAGUGAUAAUUUGGUUUUCUCAUUACUUCCUUUAAUCUAAUUCCUUUAAUCUCUUUUUCUUCUCUUAUUGUCAAAGCUAGUAUUUCUAAUAUAAUACUGAAUAGUAAUGGUGAUAGUGGGCAACCUUGUUUCUUGUGAUCUUAUUGGGAAUAGUUCCGUUUAUCCCCAUUAUAUAUGAUACUUGUGAUGGUUUUAAAUAGAUGCUACUGACUAUUUUAAGGAAAAGCCCAUUUAUUCCUAUACUCUCUAGUGUUUUUAAUGAGAAUGAAUGUUGGAUUUUAUCAAAUGCUUUUUCUGCAUCUAUUGAGAUAAUAAUUUUUUGUUAAUUUGGUUAUUGAGAUAGUCAAUUAAUUAUGCUAAUAGUUUUUCUAAUAUUGAACGAAUCCUGCAUUCCUGGUAUAUAAAUCCUACUUGGUCAUGGUGUAUUAUCCUGGGGAGGAUUUUCUGUAAUUUCUUUGCUAGUAUUUUAUUUAAGAUUUUUGCAUCAAUAUUCAUUAGGGAGAUUGGUCUAUAAUUUUCUUUCUCUGUUUUCAUCCUACUUAGUUUAGGUAUCAGUGCCAUCCUCAUCAUAAAAGGAAUUUGGUAGGAGUCCUUCAUUUUUUAUUUUUAAAAAUAAUUUAUAUAAUAUUGGAGUUAAUUGUUCUUUAAAUGUUUGGUAGAAUUCACAUGCAUAUCCAUUUGAUCCUGGGGAUUUUUUUUUUUUUCUUAGGGAGCUGAUUAAUAGUUUUUCUAUUUCUUUUUUAAAAAAUUGGACUAUUUAAGUAAUUUUUUCCCCUUUUGUUAGUGUGAGCAUUCUAUAUUUUUGUAGGUAAUUCUCCAUUUCACUUAGGUUAUCAAAUUUAUUGGCAUAAAAUUGGGCAAAGUGGCAGAGGUUUUUAAUGAUAUCUUGAAGAAUGCAAUCCAGGCUCUUUUUUUGUCAUGGCUUUCAGGUAGGCAAAUAAUUUUCAAAUUUUUCUCUUUGGGAUCUAUUUUCCAGGAUAGCUAUUUUUCCAAAGAGGCAUUUCACAUUUUCUUUCUUUCUUUUUUCCAUUAUUUUUAGUUUGAUUGAUUCUUAUCUCAAAUAGUUUUCAGCUUCCAUUUGCCUCCUUCUAGUUUAUAUUGUGUGAUUUUCUUCAAUUACCUUUUGCCUUUCUUUUUCCCUCUGGUCAAUUCUACUUCUGAAGGUAUUGUUUUCUUCAGUAGAUUUUUUUUUUUUUUUUUGUAUUUGACCAAUUGUAUUUUUAAAGAGCUGUUUUCUUCAGCCAAUGUUUUCUUUCCUUUUCCAAACUGUUGAAAU